rnacentral:rRNA from 1 species
UACGUAGGGGGCAAGCGUUGUCCGGAAUCAUUGGGCGUAAAGAGCGUGUAGGCGGCUCGGUAAGUCCGCUGUAAAAGUCCAGGGCUCAACCCUGGAACGCCGGUGGAAACUGUCGAGCUAGAGUCCGGAAGAGGCGAGUGGAAUUCCUGGUGUAGCGGUGAAAUGCGCAGAUAUCAGGAGGAACACCAAUGGCGAAGGCAGCUCGCUGGGACGGUACUGACGCUGAGACGCGAAAGCGUGGGGAGCAAACAGG